GUGUUCGCUUUGGCAGCACAUAUACCAAAAUUGGUCUGAUACAGAGUAGAUUAGCAUGGCCCUUGCCCAGAGUUCUUAGCUCAAUUUUUGAAGUUCUGGGGAUUGAA
ensembl:snRNA U6 U6 spliceosomal RNA